UUAGGUGAGUCAUGUGGGAGCUGUUAGCAAUUAAAGAAGAGUAAAUGGGCUUGAUCAGCAAUCACUCAAAUCCUUCUGAAUCAAUCUGGUGCUUUUCUUUAGCAGUUGAGGGAUUGUGAUACCUGUGAUGGGUAUGGGAUAUGAUCAUGCAGUUCUCCUUCUGUGUACAACUCUUACUGUCUAUAGAGUUAGGAAGUACUGGUAGCUUUUGAUGACCUUGCUCUGGGUAUAUUUCCAAGGAAAUUGACCCUUGCACUACAGCAAUGUCUUUGGGCACUGGAGGACAGAGGCAAAUCUACUGUGAAGAUCUUUCGAAGCAGGGAGCCAACCACACCUGGGAGAAGAAGGUGUCCUGGUACCACAGAGUGCUGUGGAUCCUGCUUGAGUGGGGAGGUGCCCAUGGACAGGUCAUCAGUGGAUUUUGGGACUGCAAGAGAACAGGUGGCACCACGUCCUGUGAAGGGUCUGCCAUGGAGGAGAGCUGCCAGGGCUAGGAGCAAGGAAUAAGCAGGACCGCACAGUGUCCAAAAUGUUGCUGCCAUGGGGUAACUCUGGUUACCCCAAUUUUGCAGGGUGUGUGUUUCCUUCCAGCCUGUAGUAUUUACACCCAUGGGGUACACCCUGGGGCUGCCUCAGGAGCCUUUGCGUGAGCCCAUGAGAUGGCCUUGGUCUCUGGUAUGGCCAAUCAAUCUGUUAUCCUGCCUCAGCACUGCCAAAUAAUUUGAUGGAUGAAAUGAUAGGAUUUUUCUGGAUGUUGGUUUUUAAUAAGACUUAAGAUACCAAGUGUUUGCCAAGGUAAUGCAGCAGUGCUGUAUGUCCUUUUAAUGAAUCUCAGCCCCACGAAUUUCACUAACUGCUAGGAUAGGAUAACUUGACACACAUUUUCAUCUUUUUUUUACUUUCUUAAACAGUAAAAGCUGAUUAAGGGUCUUUGCAACUUUGUUUGUGGUGAAAGCUUGUGUCUGCAUAUGGACCAUAUUAAUCAGAGAGAGAGAGAGAGAGAGAGAGAGAGAGAGAGAGAUCCAAGAUAAUGAAGGAAUGAAACACUUCUGAGACUUUCCUUAUUGUCACUCCUGCUACCAGAAUUAUAAUUACAUUAUAGAAAGGAAAUUAGCGAUAA